AUGUGGCGUCUUAGAGGUGUGUCUUCCAAAGCUUGGGGGACACCCUGUUCCCUCCCCUCCCCCAAGCCCAGUCACUCUUCUCUCCAUCUUCCUCCCCCUGCCCCUCCCCCCUCCCACUUCCCUCCUCCAGGUGCCUCGGGAACUGCGGUCUUCAGCCCCCCCCAAGCUCACAGAUCCAAAGGCACAAUUCACGAACCCGAAGUGACGUCCGUUCCUUUCCUCCACCCUGCCCAGCCUGCCAUGGGUGGCCGUUGUGACACCUUGAUGCUGCCACCCUCAGCCACGCAGGGACCAGCUGAAAAGGUGUGUAUUAUGAGAAAGAGGGUCACCAAACGCAGGCGCUUUAGGGGCCUUCAUCCAGCACAUGGACUCAAGCACAACAUUCGGCUUGCUGCUCCAGACAUUGGUGGUCUGGCGUGUUACUGCUGGCGGUGCAGAAUAGCUCAGGAAGGACCUCUGGAAGCCACCUGCUGUCAGGAACACUGCCUGGAGGAGGCAGCAGGGCCAGCAAGAUAAAGCAGUCUGGGGCCGUGCAGAGGCGGGCCAAAGUCCCCAGCACCUGGCCACUUCUGAGUGAUCUAAAGCAGGGUAAGAUGGAGGGGGUGCUGGUGACCGAGUGGAGGCAGGGAGCAGAAGUGGCCAAGUCACAUGUCCCAAGUGGCAUGGGACAUGAACUUCGGCUUCGUCCCAAUUUUGAGGCAGGGCUGGCAAGCCUCCACCACCUUGGCAUGGAGGGUGGGGGCGUCACCUGUUGAGUAACCAAGCAAGGCUGGACCAGGAGAUGCUUAACCCGGUGUGGAAAGCAGAGUCUCCUGGGACCUGGGCUCCCCCAGCCGAGCUAUGCCAGGUGUAGGAGGGGACCUGGAGUUUGGGCAGCUGAGCUUGGGGCGCCUGCAGGGCCAGGGCCAGGGAGCCUCCACCUCCCAGAAAGCUGGCACACCAGGCUGCUGGCCGGCUGCCCAGAGGACAGUGGGAUAGCGGCUCCCCACAAAAAAAAAAAAGAGGUGGUUGAGGUUGAGGUUGGGGACAGGGUCAGACGGAAGGCCCAGGCGCUGCCUUCCUCCGGGCCUGGCUCCUCUGCAGCUCUGGCGCUCAGCCUGGACCCUGCGCCCCUCCCCUCCUUAGGGGUGGACAAACCCAGGGUCCCAUGGACCUGUCCCCGGGCUACUUUCCUCACGCCACCCUCGGAGAGCCGGCUGGGCCUGGCCUCCUGUGUGCCCAGCUCCAGGCCACACCUCGGAAGGCAGCUGCUGCCCGCCCACUGCUGAUGGGAGCCAGUGGCCACACUCUGGUCGCCCAGGCCCCCUGGACGCAGGCGUCCAACUUCCGCUGUCCUCCACGGGCUGACCUUCCAGGCAGGUGCAUUGCUCCAGCCCCACACCAUCCCCGUUCCCUUCUACCCGAGGGCUGGGCCUCAGGCAGUGACUCUGGGGAGCCUGGCAUGGCGAUUCCAGACCACGGAAGGCCUGGGGCUCUGAGCAGCCAUGGACUGAGACAAGAACCGACGGCCCGCGCC
rnacentral:lncRNA from 1 species